AACUCCCAGGGCGCACCGCGCGUCCGCCGCCACAGGAGGCGGACGCGCGGUGAUUUGCGUUUAGUACGCCAAAUGAAUUUACUCGUUAGAAAUAGCGUCCGUGUGGCCGUGAAGACCAGUGGUAUCUUGCGAUCUCUGCAUAAGGAUUUUUUGAAGACAUCUCUGGUUAUGUAAAUACCUCUAAGCUACACAAGCCCGUUUGACAACUCUACUGUCCAGGUGUCUCUCCAGGAAUGGCUAUUUCUUAAACAAGUCAGACAGCUAAGUCUGGCUUCACCAAAGUUAUUGAUAUCAGCUUAAUUCUAUUUUCAUCUAAAGUUGCACUGCCUCUUUCCUGUAUAAAUGAAUAAAAAGAAACUGGCAUACAGCUGUGUAAGGAAAAAAAUUGAAUUCAUUUAUAGUGUAAGGAAGACAUUCAUUCUCUGGGCGUUUUUGAUGGAUAACAACCAAAACUAUUGUCUAAACGUAAUUUUUGAGGUCCAGCUGUGCUGGCUCCACAGGUUUGCUGAUCCUUAGUUGUUCAUCACUCCUCCUCUUAAGGUUUUUACUACUUCAGGUUGCCUUUGAUGUGUUCCCCGAGCUGUUUUGGGCAAAAUAAACCAGAUUAGUUCAAACAAAUUAAAUACUACAUGUCUGUUCGGUGGUCACAUUGCGAAUGAAACAUACCAGUUGAUAAAAGGAACACUGGACAACAUGGCACUGCAGCUUAAGUUAUUGCUCUCCUGUUAAUUGUUAACCCACAGCCUGUCCUAAUGCUCCUCACCCUUAGCUUUGGUUUGCCCUGUCAUCUACAGCUCUUUGCAUGCCAUUACUUCACUAGAUAUGGCUAGGCCAUGAUCCUCCUGUGACAGGAGUAUUCACAAAAGCCAGCACAUCUCCGAUAUCUGAGAACUGCAGAUAUAUAAGAGAUGAGCACAGCAUGGCUCUUUCUCAGUAGAGAAAACUACCUCUCUAAGAGCUGUGUUUUUCUAACUUAUGUGCUGUUGAUGUUGUUUUUCAAUGGGCAGAAUUGCCCUUCUUUUCUUGAUGGUCAGAAACGUCUGAAUAGAAAAUUCUACACCAAGGUGACUGCAUUUGGUGUUGGAGAUGGGAGGAACGUGCAUCUUCUUGAAGCAUCCAGUUGCAUCAACUAUGACAGUCACGUCUCUGCUGACACAUGCCAGCUCUUUGGCUUGCUAGUCUCUGCCUAUCUGCCAAAUAAGAAUAUGUAUCAAGAAUGCAGUCAGCCUUGGUGUCCAGGAUUUGGAUUGAGAUACAGGGCCAGUCCUGAGAUGUGCUGAAUUUCUUCAGUUCCUGGCAUUGCAGACUUAAUGACUUAAUAAAGAAACUUCUUCAGGAGAUGAUCAUUAUGCAAGAGCCCAGGCUGGGUGAUCAUGCUGAUCCCUGCCUGACACAUUUGAAUCAGAGAAGGUUUAUGCUAAUGCUGUGAUGUGGCUGAGCUAUUAAAAAUGAACAGAAAAAAAUAAAGGAAGGAUCCAC